CACCGAUCGAUGGAUGCAGCACAACCAUAACUACACGAUGCGGAUGAGGUCGUCGGUUUAAUUACCCAAGUUUGAGGUAAUUGAGUGUUUCGGCCCAGAGUUUCGGCUUCUGUGGCUUGAAGAAAAAUUUUGGAACGUCCUGCUAUAUAGCGGGACAACA
rnacentral:misc_RNA from 1 species